UAUUUAUAUUAAUAAUCCCUUAGCAACGAUUUCAUGUAAAGAGAUUGUCCAGUCAACUGAUGGUAGCGGUGACUGUCCAGGCGACACACGUACUUAGGUAUCGUCAUGAGCUAAUGUUCACAUGUAAACAGCAGCUCAUGUAAAGAGAUUGUCCAGUCAACUGAUGGUAGCGGUGACUGUCCAGGCGAUACGUACUUAGGUAUCGUCAUGAGCUAAUGUUCACAUGUAAACAGCAGCUCAUGUAAAGAGAUUGUCCAGUCAACUGAUGGUAGCGGUGACUGUCCAGGAGACACACGUACUUAGGUAUCGUCAUGAGCUAAUGUUCACAUGUAAACAGCAGCUCAUGUAAAGAGAUUGUCCAGUCAACUGAUGGUAGCGGUGACUGUCCAGGCGACACACGUACUUAGGUAUCGUCAUGAGCUAAUGUUCACAUGUAAACAGCAGCUCAUUUAAAGAGAUUGUCCAGUCAACUGAUGGUAGCGGUGACUGUCCAGGCGACACACGUACUUAGGUAUCGUCAUGAGCUAAUGUUCACAUGUAAACAGCAGCUCAUGUAAAGAGAUUGUCCAGUCAACUGAUGGUAGCGGUGACUGUCCAGGCGACACACGUACUUAGGUAUCGUCAUGAGCUAAUGUUCACAUGUAAACAGCAGCUCAUGUAAAGAGAUUGUCCAGUCAACUGAUGGUAGCGGUGACUGUCCAGGCGACACACGUACUUAGGUAUCGUCAUGAGCUAAUGUUCACAUGUAAACAGCAGCUCAUGUAAAGAGAUUGUCCAGACAACUGAUGGUAGCGGUGACUGUCCAGGCGACACACGUACUUAGGUAUCGUCAUGAGCUAAUGUUCACAUGUAAACAGCAGCUCAUGUAAAGAGAUUGUCCAGUCAACUGAUGGUAGCGGUGACUGUCCAGGCGACACACGUACUUAGGUAUCGUCAUGAGCUAAUGUUCACAUGUAAACAGCAGCUCAUGUAGUGUAGAGAUGGACUUAAAUCUCUACAUACGCCUUUUUAAUGUACAUCCGUGAUUAUUAUGUCGGAUUUGUACAUUAGGGAUAGUUGUGAACAAGUAUUUUUUAUAGUUUUUAUGUAUGUGACCAUUUUAUGAAAAGCAAUAAAUGAAAUAUAUAUUAUAUUUCAGACUCAAAAUGAGCUGAAACUAUGUUAUAAUAAGUAUAUUUUGUUAAUGGUCAUGUGCAUAGGUUUGUUUUUAGGAUUCAUUUUAAACACAGAUCCUUUUAGGUCCCUAUUACAUGGGACUUAUAACAUUACUAGUGAAUAGUAGGUGUUGUACAAAAUUCUAUAUUGUUUUGACGAAAUGAGGUGUUUUAAUCGUUAUAUAUUUUUUGCGUUAACCCUCAGUACUAUGGUUAUAUAGCUAGGACUAGAGUGAAAAUUCGUUGUGUGAGUGAGGUUACCGGAGGCCCAAUUACCCCCCUUCCCAAUCUCCGAUUCCCCAACAACCCUUAAAUUCCUAACAUCCAAAAGGCCGGCAACGCACUUGUAACGCUUCUAGUGUUUCUGAGCCUUACUCAAACGUUUAAUGAUUACUUAAACUAUUCCUUAGUAACGAUUUUGUACCGAAAACAAUCGCUAAGGACUGGGUUAAGUAACCAUUAAAUGUUUCUGAUCACAGAAAAUUAUUAAAACUAAAUCGUAUAUGUUUUUAUAGAGAUUUUGUCUGUCAGCCAUUCAAGUCGGAGCUCACUUAGGCAAUAAACCUUUAUAAUUACGAUUUUAGCUAUGAUACAUGAAAAAUAUAUAUUAAAAUAAUUAUUGUAUAUGGUUCUUGAAACUGAAAACGAAUGUUAGGUGUGCGAUGGGCCUUUUUUUCUUAGUUUUAAGUGUGCUUUAUUUCUUAUUUUUUUGUUGGGCAACACAGUUGUGGUAUGUUGCUAUUAAAAAAAUAUUGAAAUAUUUUGACAAUAUGGCUGCUUUUUAUCGAUCAUGUCGAUAGUACUAUCAGCUUUUGUUGGUUUUUCUUUAGAAAAUUCCCAGCUUUUUAUUCACGGCUUACCGUUUCUUUUUUUUAUUUGAACGCUUAGCCGCUUAUUUUUGAUUGGUUGUGUUUAACAAUCAAGGCAAGAUUCUCUUAAAAAAUGACGUUUUUCGUGCAUUUUUCUGCACAAUUUUUUUCUAUAUAUUUUCCCCAGUGACAUGCUUUAUUCCGCUUUUUAAUUCAACAUACCAUGGCGACGUUGCGAUUCUGUUUAAUAUAUAAACCUUCGUGAUUAAGAAUAUAAAAUAAUAAUUAUAAUACUAAAUAGUACCUACGCUUCGAUCGCUUCGAAAACCCGACAAAAUAGUUCCUAUAAUUAUUUAAACGUUUUACUUAAUUUGUUAAUUAUGAAGAAAGCAAUGUAAUAUUUUGAUAUUGACGCAAAAAUUUUUGUUUUACCACGACAAAAAGAGAUUUUUCUCAAUAAAAAUCUAUGAAUUCUUCAGUUUCUUGUAUCUUAACCGUUUGUUAUAUAUAACAAUGAUUUAAAUUUUUCAAUGUUUUCUAACUAAACACAAAUAUUUUUGCGCCAAUAUACCCCAGUUUUUUUGUUUAUUUACCCGUCCUAAUGUAAUAGAAACAUGAUGUUUACCUUAAAAUUUCUUUAUUAUUUUAUAUCGAGACAAAUUAUAUAAGAAGCGAUCAUUAGCUGCGACGUUAUAUUUAUAUGCGGGAACUCAUAAGGGCUAAAAACAGCAGCUCAUCUGGUGUAGAGAUUGUCCAGUCAACUGAUGGUAGCGGUGACUGUCCAGGCGACACACGUACUUAGGUAUCGUCAUGAGCUAAUGUUCACAUGUAAACAGCAGCUCAUGUAGUGUAGAUGUCCAGUCAACUGAUGGUAGCGGUGACUGUUCAAGUUGUUAAGAUGAUAUAGGUAAUUUUUAUUAUGAGUGAUCCGUAUGUAGUCAAUAAAAAUCAUGCGUAUAUGAUUGUAAAAUGUAAAAAUUAUUGGUUUGAUUUCACUUUUUGCUCUAAACACGUUGUUUGUAUACUAAAUUAUAAUAUUUAGAUGUUAUUUCACUAGAUAUUAGUUAAGUUUUAAAUAAAAGUGAGAUGUAGUUUUAGCUUAUAAUUUUGUAUUGUCAAAUUGUCAGUUGUGUAGUAAACGCAGGACUUAUAUUUUAAUGUUUUAAAGAUUGAUUCAAAUCUGUCUUUAAUUGGUUUUGUUGGUUAUUUCUUAAAUUAAGACUACUUGGUUUAGAUUUUCAUGUAAUUAAAGCAUUGUAAAUUAAUUUUGUCACUGUAUGGCAGCAGUUUUAAACAGAAACUCUAAAGUCUGUGCCAAUUUCUAAAUAAUUUCUUGUUUUUUUGUAUCGAUUUUCUUCUAUGUAAAGAAAACUUUAUUUGACUUUGAUAACCCCAUGUUUACAUAUAUUAUUGCAAAACUUGUGCUAAGUAUAAUCUUAAAAUUAAAUUUAGUAAGCAAAAUGGAUGUUUUUGUUCAUAUUUAUACAAGUUCCCGCGUAUAAAUAUAUCGUACUAAAAUCUUAUGGUGAAUUAUUUGUUAAGUCAUUUUUAAGUUUCGUUCGUUCGUUGCAAUUUUUUUUUCGUAUCUUAAGCGCGCCAAAGGUGUUGAUGGAGAGAGUUAAAAAACUCUUAGGAUUAAACUGUAUAAAUGAAAAAUAUAAAAAAAAUUACUUGAUGAUAAAAUUAAGGCUUGAUAAUGUUAUAUUAUCGGUGUCCCACAAAAUGGCGGGUUGGCGCCAAUUUUUGACAGAUGACAGUUGACAGGCAUGACGAACUGUCACAGUAAUGUUGCCAGCCUAUCCGUCAUCUUGCCGGACAAUUUUAAAACGUAGUUUCAAUAUAAUCCAGUGCAUUCAUUUUUUUGUUGUCAAUUUUUUUUUCGAUAAUUUGGUUGUUGUAAAAUAAUUAAUUAAAUAUAAAAAAAAUAAUUGAGUAGAUGUUUCGAAAGUUAGUCAAUGUAGGUAGGGUUAGGUCGAAAAUUAAGUAUAAAUUGUUUUUUUUUUUCUAAGAUUUGCUUCGUCGAAGUGAUUUAGACAGUUGUAUGUAUUGAUUCACGAUUUUUUAAAAGAAAUUUGCAUUUUAGCUGACACUGUCUUUAUGCCAGACGCAGUAUGUAAGGCUGUAAGUUAAAUAUACAUAUUAUAUUUGAGGUAAUAAAUUAAUAAUAAAACCACA